AGAGUUUGAUCAUGGCUCAGAUUGAACGCUGGCGGCAGGCCUAACACAUGCAAGUCGAGCGGAAACGAGUUAACUGAACCUUCGGGGAACGAUAGCGGCGUCGAGCGGCGGACGGGUGAGUAAUGCCUAGGAAAUUGCCCUGAUGUGGGGGAUAACCAUUGGAAACGAUGGCUAAUACCGCAUGAUGCCUACGGGCCAAAGAGGGGGACCUUCGGGCCUCUCGCGUCAGGAUAUGCCUAGGUGGGAUUAGCUAGUUGGUGAGGUAAGGGCUCACCAAGGCGACGAUCCCUAGCUGGUCUGAGAGGAUGAUCAGCCACACUGGAACUGAGACACGGUCCAGACUCCUACGGGAGGCAGCAGUGGGGAAUAUUGCACAAUGGGCGCAAGCCUGAUGCAGCCAUGCCGCGUGUGUGAAGAAGGCCUUCGGGUUGUAAAGCACUUUCAGUCGUGAGGAAGGUAGUGUAGUUAAUAGCUGCAUUAUUUGACGUUAGCGACAGAGGGGAGCACCGGCUAACUCCGUGCCAGCAGCCGCGGUAAUACGGAGGGUGCGAGCGUUAAUCGGAAUUACUGGGCGUAAAGCGCAUGCAGGUGGUUUGUUAAGUCAGAUGUGAAAGCCCGGGGCUCAACCUCGGAAUUGCAUUUGAAACUGGCAGACUAGAGUACUGUAGAGGGGGGUAGAAUUUCAGGUGUAGCGGUGAAAUGCGUAGAGAUCUGAAGGAAUACCGGUGGCGAAGGCGGCCCCCUGGACAGAUACUGACACUCAGAUGCGAAAGCGUGGGGAGCAAACAGGAUUAGAUACCCUGGUAGUCCACGCCGUAAACGAUGUCUACUUGGAGGUUGUGGCCUUGAGCCGUGGCUUUCGGAGCUAACGCGUUAAGUAGACCGCCUGGGGAGUACGGUCGCAAGAUUAAAACUCAAAUGAAUUGACGGGGGCCCGCACAAGCGGUGGAGCAUGUGGUUUAAUUCGAUGCAACGCGAAGAACCUUACCUACUCUUGACAUCCAGAGAACUUUCCAGAGAUGGAUUGGUGCCUUCGGGAACUCUGAGACAGGUGCUGCAUGGCUGUCGUCAGCUCGUGUUGUGAAGUGUUGGGUUAAGUCCCGCAACGAGCGCAACCCUUAUCCUUGUUUGCCAGCGAGUAAUGUCGGGAACUCCAGGGAGACUGCCGGUGAUAAACCGGAGGAAGGUGGGGACGACGUCAAGUCAUCAUGGCCCUUACGAGUAGGGCUACACACGUGCUACAAUGGCGCAUACAGAGGGCAGCCAACUUGCGAAAGUGAGCGAAUCCCAAAAAGUGCGUCGUAGUCCGGAUUGGAGUCUGCAACUCGACUCCAUGAAGUCGGAAUCGCUAGUAAUCGUGGAUCAGAAUGCCACGGUGAAUACGUUCCCGGGCCUUGUACACACCGCCCGUCACACCAUGGGAGUGGGCUGCAAAAGAAGUAGGUAGUUUAACCUUCGGGGGGACGCUUACCACUUUGUGGUUCAUGACUGGGGUGAAGUCGUAACAAGGUAGCGCUAGGGGAACCUGGCGCUGGAUCACCUCCUU
rnacentral:rRNA from 1 species